rnacentral:rRNA from 1 species
CGGACGGGUGAGUAAUGCGUAGGAAUUUACCUCAAAGCGGGGGAUAGCCCGGAGAAAUCCGGAUUAAUACCGCAUGUGCUCUACGGAGGGAAGCGGGCCUCUUCUUGAAAGCUCGCACUUUGAGAUAAGCCUACGUCGGAUUAGCUUGUUGGUAGGGUAAAAGCCUACCAAGGCGACGAUCAGUAGCUGGUUUGAGAGGAUGAUCAGCCACACUGGGACUGAGACACGGCCCAG